rnacentral:pre_miRNA from 1 species
UGGAGAAGGAGACAUGGCGUGAUAUUGGUUCGGCUCACUACUCUCUGAUUCAUCAGAUUAGAUAUGAGCCGAACCAAUAUCACUCUUGUAUUCUUCUUC